AUACGGAGGGUGCAAGCGUUAAUCGGAAUUACUGGGCGUAAAGCGUACGUAGGCGGCAAGGUAAGUUAGAUGUGAAAGCCCCGGGCUCAACCUGGGAACUGCAUUUAAAACUGGCUUGCUAGAGUUGAGUAGAGGGGAGUGGAAUUUCAGGUGUAGCGGUGAAAUGCGUAGAGAUCUGAAGGAACACCAGUGGCGAAGGCGACUCCCUGGACUCGAACUGACGCUGAGGUACGAAAGCGUGGGUAGCAAACGGGAUUAGAUACCCUAGUAGUCC
rnacentral:rRNA from 1 species